CCUACGGGUGGCAGCAGUGGGGAAUAUUGCACAAUGGGGGAAACCCUGAUGCAGCGACGCCGCGUGAAGGAAGAAGUAUUUCGGUAUGUAAACUUCUAUCAGCAGGGAAGAAAAUGACGGUACCUGACUAAGAAGCCCCGGCUAACUACGUGCCAGCAGCCGCGGGAAUACGUAGGGGGCAAGCGUUAUCCGGAUUUACUGGGUGUAAAGGGAGCGUAGGCGGUGCAGCAAGUCAGCAGUGAAAGCCCGGGGCUCAAACCCGGGACUGCUUUUGAAACUGUUGAACUAGAGUGCAGGAGAGGUAAGUGGAAUUCCUGGUGUAGCGGUGAAAUGCGUAGAUAUUAGGAGGAACACCAGUGGCGAAGGCGGCUUACUGGACUGUAAAUGACGCUGAGGCUCGAAAGCGUGGGGAGCAAACAGGAUUAGAUACCCCUGUAGUC
rnacentral:rRNA from 1 species